rnacentral:tRNA from 1 species
UCCCCAGUGGCUCAGAUGGUAAAGCGUCCGCCUGCAAGGCGGAAGACCUGGGUUCAAUCCCUGGGUCAGGAA